rnacentral:lncRNA from 1 species
GGACAGAGCUUCUGCGUCACAAUCGUAAAGAAUCAACGAUUGGACGGAACUGGCCGUCUCGGUGGAGUAUCGGUCUUCAGAAUCGACGAUACUCUACAUCGACCACUUUCUCUCUCUCUCUCUCUCUCUCUAUAGCCACGCUGACUUGAUUCCCAUCUGAGCUGAUCUUCAUUUGAUUGAACUUCAGUUGGACAAAACCUUCCCUAGGCGCUGAUUCGAAAUCAGUAGAGAACUGGCCU